UAUAGCACAAAAUAAUUCACUGAAAUAGCAGACAACGCAAAAUUCCUCAUUCAGUCACGUGACCCACGAGGAGCCGCUGUAGAAUUCCGUGACGUCACACUAGUUAGGAGGUAGUCGGGAAGCGGUCAUUUUACAUAGCGUGUCAGUAUUUUUUCACCUUUGCGAUGGAGUUUGUAUGUUUAAACGAGGACGAAUACGAAGCGAGCCAACUUAAUGUUAAAAACGAGGAGUGCUGUGUCCAGCCAUAUGCGUUUGAGCCGUUAGUUAGGCGUGAAUUACGGGACAACACCGAGGAAAGUGGAGAAAGUAGGAGUAGCGAUGAUGACCACGCUAGUAGGGCCGACAACGUCGUCGUCCGACUCAGAAUCUGCCAGUGAAGAGGAUAUUGGCGACCGUUCCCAUCGACUGACAAAUACUGACUGGUGCAAAUGUGGCAACUGUGUGAUUAUGCCCACAGUGGAUGAAUGCAAGUGCUGCACAGAAACGCACCUUGUUGAUCAGGAAGUCGAGUCAGCUGGGCUGCAAUGUAUAACCUUACAUGAAGGCUUUCAGGGAAACUGCCUCAACCAGUAUGUCCUCAAGGCAUCUUUUGUUGAAUUUUUGGAGGGACAUGGUCCUCUUGGAAAUGAUGAACCAGUAAACGAGAUUUACAGGUACAUUGCAUAUAGAAGAAUGAUCAGAUGGAUUUGGGGACGCAUUGGAAAAGGAAAUAGGAAAGUUCUUCCAUCCUGUGCAGUAAAUAAAAUAAGAGAGACCUGGGAGUCAGCAGACUACACUGGUUUUAAAUACCCAACUGUGUGAACCUCGACUUCCUAGUUGCCACAACUGUUGGAAAGUUCUCAAAUGGGUGUUCGUGGAUGUCUACAAUGUGGUUCAUCACCGACUUCCACUUGGCCACAACCAGCUCAGCAUUUCCAUCACUGCUUGCCCCACACCAAUAUACAUGGUUGGAGAUGCUGUGGAUCCACGGUGAGAUGAUGAGCAGCUCUUGCUUUUUGGACCAGAGACUAUUCACAGCUGGAAUAAGGUAUGCCUUCUGUAUGUUAUAAUAAGUACUGACGCAGAAUGUUGAAAUCCUCAUAAAUUUAAAACAAUUGACUGCCUUCACAGUACUACAUCCACUAAACAUUAUGGAAGCGGCUAGCUGUAAGUUGCCAAGUGGCAUGGUGCCAUGUGAUGGCUGACUUUUCCAGGUCUUCACAUGAGAGGGGUCAACACUACACUGUGAUGUCAAGGUCACCAUGGUGCCCGAUACCUUUGUAGAUAUUAUUUUGCAGGCAUUCCCACAUAAAAAACACAAGGCUAGGAGGGACUGAAGACACGAUUCGAAGACUAUGAACUUCCUCUCUCUCAUAGGGGUGUGAGUAUAUUCUCUAAACAAAAAAAGAUAAAUACAAAAUUUAAUGAUCACAAUUUUAAAUUAAUCCAUUGUGUUAUUUGAUGUUUUUACUUACUCAUCGCUCAUUUCCAUUUCAAAAUCUCGGUCAGAGUCUUCAUCUUCCUCAGGAAUGUAGUCUAAAUCACCAUCAUCAUCAUCAGCAGCAGCAGCACUACUGUCGUCUGAAAAAUCCACUUCCAUUGAAGAACAGUUCUUUUCAACCGAGUUGCCGAGCUUAACCUGGCAGGAAAAAUCCUUUGCUCUUGAAAGCAGGCUUUGGGUCCCACGAUGACAUUUGGCAACUGGAGUGACAUGCCAGGAUUUUGGAGUUUGACAUGAUUUAGUGCAUUUCACAACUGUUUCAGUCUGUGACAUUUUAUUCUGAAAAUUAAUAAAAAAUGAAAUGUUUACAAUUCUGAAAAUAAGUUUUCAAAAGAUCUUUGGGUCGGGAUUUAUAAAAUUCUAAUUCUCAAGUCUUUUGUAGAGAAAGUUAAGUUUUAUGGAAGGAAUUUUUAAAUUUAUAUUGGACCCAGUCCUACAUACCAUUCCAGUUGACAUUGUCUGUACACAUGCAUGGGUGGUCAGAGGUAGUUCAAAAGACACAUUAGGCUUGGCAUUCGUUGAGAUGUCGGUUUCAUAGCAAGCCUCUGCAUCAUCCGACGACUCCAUUUGACAUACACUUGCCUCAUAAGCUUGUAGAGCACAGCUAACUGUCUGAAAUAUAUGUAAUGGAAGAGAUUACAGUGGAUAAAAAAAAAAAAAAAAAAAAUAUAUAUAUAUAUAUAUACUUGCGCAAAGGAUUUGGUUUUAAAAGUUUGUCUUUAUUUGGCAGUGCCUACAUGAAUUGACAUCUAAUCUCUCUGUUUCUGUAGAACCUGUCCGUGGACCUCGAGCCCCAGAAGGCGGCCCUACAGUCCUUGACCAGCAAUGUUACGUUCAAGAAAACUGGAGAACUGGAGGACAAAAUAAUAAAAAUAAAUCAGCUACUCCUGAUUCUUCCCAUAGUCCAAAUAAACGGGUUACUCUUAA